rnacentral:rRNA from 1 species
GACGAACGCUGGCGGCGUGCUUAACACAUGCAAGUCGAACGGUAAGGCCCUUCGGGGUACACGAGUGGCGAACGGGUGAGUAACACGUGGGUGAUCUGCCCUGCACUUCGGGAUAAGCCUGGGAAACUGGGUCUAAUACCGGAUAGGACUCCGGACUGCAUGGUCUGGGGUGGAAAGCUUUUGCGGUGUGGGAUGGGCCCGCGGCCUAUCAGCUUGUUGGUGGGGUGAUGGCCUACCAAGGCGACGACGGGUAGCCGGCCUGAGAGGGUGACCGGCCACACGGGGACGGGGAUACGGCCCAGACUCCUACGGGAGGCAGCAGUGGGGAAUAUUGCACAAUGGGCGCAAGCCUGAUGCAGCGACGCCGCGUGAGGGAUGACGGCCUUCGGGUUGUAAACCUCUUUCAGCAUCGACGAAGCGAAAGUGACGGUAGGUGCAGAAGAAGGACCGGCCAACUACGUGCCAGCCGCCGCUGUAA